AGAGUUUGAUCAUGGCUCAGGAUGAACGCUAGCGGCAGGCUUAACACAUGCAAGUCGAGGGGCAGCGCGGGUAGCAAUACCUGGCGGCGACCGGCAAACGGGUGCGGAACGCGUACGCAAUCUACCUUAAUCUGGGGCAUAGCCCGGAGAAAUCCGGAUUAACUCCCCAUAGUAUAUUGGAGUGGCAUCACUCUGGCAUU
rnacentral:rRNA from 1 species